rnacentral:rRNA from 1 species
AACGAACGCUGGCGGCAGGCUUAACACAUGCAAGUCGAACGGUUCCUUCGGGUUUAGUGGCCGACGGGUGAGUAACGCGUGGGAACGUUCCCUUUGCUACGGAAUAACUUAGGGAAACUUGAGCUAAUACCGUACGUGUCCUACGGGGGAAAGAUUUAUCGGCAAAGGAUCGGGCCGCGUUGGAUUAGCUAGUUGGUGGGGUAAUGGCCUACCAAGGCUACGAUCCAUAGCUGGUCUGAGAGGAUGAUCAGCCACACUGGGACUGGGACACGGCGCAGACUCCUGGGAGAGGCAGCAAUGGGGAAUAAAGGACAAUGGGCGCGAGCCUGAUCCAGCCAGGCCGCGUGAGUGAUGAAGGUCUUAGGAUUGUAGAUCUGUUUGGACGGUGAAGAUAGUGACGGUAGCCGGAGAAGAAGCCCCGGCUAACUUCGUG